GUCUGAGUGAAAGCCUUCGGCUCAACCGAAGAAGUGCAUCGGAAACUGGGAAACUUGAGUGCAGAAGAGGACAGUGGAACUCCAUGUGUAGCGGUGAAAUGCGUAGAUAUAUGGAAGAACACCAGUGGCGAAGGCGGCUGUCUGGUCUGUAACUGACGCUGAGGCUCGAAAGUAUGGGUAGCAAACAGGAUUAGAUACCCUGGUAGUCCAUACCGUAAACGAUGAAUGCUAAGUGUUGGAGGGUUUCCGCCCUUCAGUGCUGCAGCUAACGCAUUAAGCAUUCCGCCUGGGGAGUACGGCCGCAAGGCUGAAACUCAAAGGAAUUGACGGGGGCCCGCACAAGCGGUGGAGCAUGUGGUUUAAUUCGAAGCUACGCGAAGAACCUUACCAGGUCUUGACAUACUAUGCAAAUCUAAGAGAUUAGACGUUCCCUUCGGGGACAUGGAUACAGGUGGUGCAUGGUUGUCGUCAGCUCGUGUCGUGAGAUGUUGGGUUAAGUCCCGCAACGAGCGCAACCCUUAUUAUCAGUUGCCAGCAUUAAGUUGGGCACUCUGGUGAGACUGCCGGUGACAAACCGGAGGAAGGUGGGGAUGACGUCAAAUCAUCAUGCCCCUUAUACCUGGGGCU
rnacentral:rRNA from 1 species